rnacentral:rRNA from 1 species
UGGGGAAUUUUGGACAAUGGGCGAAAGCCUGAUCCAGCAAUGCCGCGUGUGUGAAGAAGGCCUUCGGGUUGUAAAGCACUUUUGUCCGGAAAGAAAUCCUCUGGGUUAAUACCUCGGGGGGAUGACGGUACCGGAAGAAUAAGCACCGGCUAACUACGUGCCAGCAGCCGCGGUAAUACGUAGGGUGCAAGCGUUAAUCGGAAUUACUGGGCGUAAAGCGUGCGCAGGCGGUUUUGUAAGACGGAUGUGAAAUCCCCGGGCUUAACCUGGGAACUGCAUUCGUGACUGCAAGGCUAGAGUAUGGCAGAGGGGGGUAGAAUUCCACGUGUAGCAGUGAAAUGCGUAGAGAUGUGGAGGAAUACCGAUGGCGAAGGCAGCCCCCUGGGCCAAUACUGACGCUCAUGCACGAAAGCGUGGGGAGCAAACAGGAUUAGAUACCCUGGUAGUCCACGCCCUAAACGAUGUCAACUAGCUGUUGGGGUCUUCGGACCUUGGUAGCGCAGCUAACGCGUGAAGUUGACCGCCUGGGGAGUACGGUCGCAAGAUUAAAACUCAAAGGAAUUGACGGGGUC